UACGGAGGAUCCAAGCGUUAUCCGGAAUUACUGGGCGUAAAGAGUUGCGUAGGUGGCAUAGUAAGUAGAUAGUGAAAGCGUGUGGCUCAACCAUACUUACAUUAUCUAAACUGCUAAGCUAGAAGACGAGAGAGGUAGAUGGAAUUCCCAGUGUAGGAGUGAAAUCCGUAGAUAUUGGGAGGAACACCGAUGGCGUAGGCAGUCUACUGGCUCGUUCUUGACACUAAGGCACGAAAGCGUGGGGAGCAAACGGG
rnacentral:misc_RNA from 1 species